rnacentral:sRNA from 1 species
CAUUCUCCCCAUCCUCUUUUGUUCUAGUGCAUGGCAUGGGAAGCCCUCUCUAGGAGGAUGCUGUGGCCACACAAGCGCUGGACGAACCGCUGGAGUAGGUGACUUCCAAGGUGUCCUAAUGUAGUAGCUAUUAGACCAGCUCCUGCAUUUGGCCAGUAAUUAGCGUGCUGCUGCACAUUGCCACUAGGUGGUGCUGCUGCUCCAUCCCAACUAACCACAUGCAUCCCUGGCUGGGGUCAGCCUUGGGGUUUCCCAAGUGUAGAGGAAUCCAUCUCUGUGCCUGUGGUAAUGGCUGGACACCAGGAGAGACCCAGAAAACAGGGAUAUUCCUAGAAGAGAAAGGCAAAAUAAGCACUCAGAGCAGAGGACGUUUGAGUGUCAAUAAUGAAGGUGGCAGCAGUAAUCAUGGCUAUCAUUUACUAAAAAUAGUGGAUAUUCGCCAGACAUGGUAGCUCACACCUGUAAUCCCAGCACUUUGGGAGACCAAGGUGGGUGGAUCACUUGAGGUCAGGAGUUCGAGACCAGCCUGGCCAACAUGGUGAAACUAUCUACUAAAAAUACAAAAAUUAGCCAGGUGUGGUGGUGCAUGCCUGUAGUCCCAGCUACUUGGGAGGCUGAGGAAGGAGAAUCACUUGAACCUGGGAGGCGGAGGCUGUAGUGAGCUGAGAUCACGCCACUGCACUCCAGCCUGGACAACAGAGCAAGACUGUCUAAAAAAAAAAGUAGAUAUUGUGCUAGUCACUUGAUACACAUUAUCUCUGAUCUUUGCACCAAGCGAGGCAUGUGUAUUAUGUCUGCAUUACAAAAGGGGAAAAAUUAAGGUUCAAGAAGAUAAAGUGGCCAGGCAUGGUGGCGCAUGCGUGUAAUCGCAGCACUUUAAGAGGCUGAGACAGGCGGAUUGGUUGAACCCAGGAGUUCAAGACCAGCCUGGGCAACAUAGUGAGACCUCAUCUCUACAAAAAAAUAAAAUUAGCUGGGUGUGGUGGUGCGUGCCUGUAGUCACAGCUGUUCGGGAGGCUGAUGUGGAAGGAUCACUUGAGCCCGGGAGAUAGAGGCUGCAGUGAGAUGAGACUGAGCCAUUGCACUCAGCCUAGGCAACAGAGUGAGACCCUGUCUCAAAACAAAACAGAAAUAACAAAAAAUAAGGUGACUUGCUUGAGGCCACAUGGCUGUGAGCCAAAUACAGAUCUGGGUUACCAGGGCUCACAUACUUCUAAGUACACCCUACUGCCUUGGAAUCUGCUGAAGACCAAGCCCCUGCCCCCAAGCCAUGGCAAAGGAGGAGGGAAGGAAGCAAAGGUGCCCAGUGGGGACAACUCGGGGAGGGGGGAGGUGCCCAGGGCCCAGGAAGGCCAAGCAGCAUGUGGCAGGGCAGCAUCAGGUGACACCCAAGAAGGAAUGAGGAGAGGAUGUGAGGAAAGAGCCACAGCACAGAGGCCUGCUGUUAGGUCAGUGGAGACCACGGCCCAUGGGACCUGGAUCUACCCUUGAUGCUAAUAAUAUUCUUUGGGGAAAAAAACUAUAAUCACAAAGUUUCUGCAACUGGACUGUAGUCAUGGUUGCAGAACUGUAUAGAUUUACUAGGAACCAUCAAAUCGUUCACUUACAAUGGGUAAAUUGUACAGUACAUAGGUUAUCCCUCAGUAAAGCUGUAUGAAAUUUAUAGUCAUGAAACCAAUAGUGACAAGGGAGCUGGGUAAGUGGUCUCAGCCGUGCUGUAGGCACUUUGAGAAGAGGAAGAGUGGCAUCUCUGGUUUAAUGAAAGAAAGCCUGGCCCAUGGCGUCCAGCUUCUGCUUGAAUACUUUCAGUGCCUGGGAGCUCAGUACCUCAAAGCAGCCCACUCUGGUUUAAGAUCACUCUCUAAUCCUUAGAAUGUUGAAAUACAUCAUUGUUAUUCUUAUACUGCUGUGAAAAAUAAAUGUCUUUGUUUUGCCACAU